rnacentral:lncRNA from 1 species
GGUAAAUCUGCUGAUGUCCUUGUGAGAGAGAGAGGAUUACACUUGUUUAUCUACAAGGAUACAAAGGUCAGCCUGCUAAUGUCCUUGUGCAGGAAAGGAGAUUGCACCUGUUUAUGACAAAGAUACUGAGGUGAGCCUGCUGAUGUCUUCAUAAGGGAGAGGGGAUUGCACAUGUUUAUAAGGACACUGAGGUAAGCCUGUUGAUGUCCUUGUGUGUGAGAGGGCUGGCACUUGUUUAUCUACAAGGAUAGUAAGGUCAGCCAGCUGAUGUCCUUGUGCAGGAAAGGGAUUGUACCUGCUUAUCAAUAAGGAUACUAAGUUAAGCCUGCAAUGUCUUUGUGCAGGAGAGGAGAUUGCACCUGUUUAUCUACAAGGAUACUAAGGUAAACCUACUAAUAUCCUCAUGCAGGAAGGGACAAUGGACCUGUUUAUCUACAGAGAUCCUAAGGUAAUCCUACUGAUGUCCUUGUGCAGGAGAGGGGAUUGCACCUACUUCUCUAUAAGGAUACUGAAGUAAGCCUGCUGAUGUCCUUGGGUAGGAUAGGGUAAUGAAACUGUGUAUCUACAAGGAUUCAAAGGAGAUGGGAUUGCACCUGUUUAUCUACAAGUAUAUCAAGAUGGACCAUCCUGGAGCCACACAGAGCCUGGGGCCAUCUUCUGAUCACUUUGCCACAGAACUACUAGGAGCAGCUCUUUAGAUUGAAGAAGACCAGGCCACCAGGCCCCAACGCCAUCCAAACAGAUCUGACCUCCAUCAUCCCAGCAAGGAAGUGAUGGGCCUGCCUUGUGAGCUGGGUCUGAUGAACAUCACCCCACUGAAUCCUCCAGCUAUCUCAGGGCUUCAGGUGUCUCAGCUCUAACAUGACUCCAGCUAAACACAGCUGACUUUGCCUCCACAACUGGGAGAAGCAGCUUGGAAAAACCCCCUAGGGAGCCAGGGACCUCAGACCCAGCUGCUUCCACUCAGCGGGGCCACAGAAGCUGCUGAGGCCCAGGCUGGGUGUGCACUGAGCAAAGCAAAUGGAUGAUUCCCAGCAGGGAUGUUGAGACAGUUCAUCCACCCUUGACAUCUUCCUACGGCAGCUUGCUGGCUUCUGCCUG